GGAAUUUUGAUACUGCUUAAACACAUGAGAAGUUUCCUUUUUCUUGCUAAAACUGGACAUGGCCAUUUCGGGGGCAAAUAUAGCUGCUCUAGGGCCAGGCUCAUUUCACCUUUAUGCUUUGGUGUCCUUUGUGCAUAAUGGCUGAGCAUCUAAGUAUGUCAGCAUUCCAGAAACAAAGAAGGAAGAAGAAGGAGGAAGAAGUGGCUAUAUGAGAAUUUGGAACAUUUCCAGAAACCCGAGUAAACGUACAUCUUGUUGUCCUGAACCAAGUCCCACAGUGAUCAUUUGCUGCAGUAGAGUCUGACAACUGCUUUUUUCCCCCUCUGGACACAUUUCCUUUCCUGCAGGAGCUGAGAUUCUCUCGAUGAGGAUGGAAUAGGGAAGCGAUAUUGCCCAGGCAAUGCACCAUGGAGACCAGACCUAUCAGAGUCCAGCAGAGGAUGGUGCCCGGGCUUGGUGUGUUGGUCAUUGCUCACUACAAAUGCAAGUCAAAAUGAUAAAUGUCAAACACAAACUACCAUUUUCUUUUCUUUUUUGAGUAAAGCAAUAGCAGCCUUCCUAGUCAUGUUUACUCUUGCACCGAAUGGACGUUUGUUUUCUUGUGUUAUGUGUGUCGUUUUACAAUUGUUACCAAUUUUGGUGAAGAAGUGAAGGUUCAUUUGAUGAGAAGGGGACUUUUGGAGGGGCCAGUUCAUUCAGUUUUCAGAGGGGUCUGAUCUUCAUCUGGUGCACAGGUCCUGGGUGCCUGGCCUCCCCUUGGGAACCACGGUCUCUUAACCCUGCCUCAAGCUGCAGAGGAUUUAAGGUUUUGUCCUAGAAGCCUUUUUAGAAGAAUCUAGAAGUCACUUUUCUAACUUCCUACCUACAGGCAUCUUGGAGGACCUCACCUGGUUCUUUGUGCAAACAUCUCCAGACAGACAUGCGUCGUCUCCAAGUCAGCCAGUUCUGAAGAGUGUGUCAGAAGGGUGUUGCUCAUAUUAAGCAGAUACCUCCUGUUAGAUUUCAGAAUAUUGUACUAACAGUGAAACUCCAAAACCCAACUGAUCUAGCCUAAGCCAUUGCUGCAGGAUUGUUGCACUGAACUGAAAGCUCCUUGUUCAGCAUAUACCAGUGCCAGUAAAGCUAUAGCAGGUGAUCCUGACUUGAGGAUGGCCUACUUCAGAUAAAGAACAUAGUCUUGGAGGCACAUGGCCUUGAAUCCACAUCCAGACUUCACUUCUGGCCUGGCCAGGACGUCUGUCUACAUCCAUCACCAGGAAGCUUAUUGCAGUAUUGUGCAAUUUGGCCCUAAUUCUGCAGCACUCGAGAAAAUCAGACAGACCUUAAUGGAACUUUUAUAAUGUUCAAAGCUUCAAAGAUGAGCCACUUGUACCCCUGCCAUGGAUGAGCUCACAGCUCCAAUGGAGAAGACACAGGAGCAAACUGAACUGACCAUAGGAUAUGGGACCAAAUCAUAUGAACACUGUCAAGAGCUGACCCCAAAUUUCUCAGAAGUAGGAAAACAUUCAAUGGAAGUGACUGCCUGGGUAUUGGGUUGACCCUGUGACCGUGCAUCGUUAUGCAGAUAACAUCCCUCUGUACCACUAGAUGUUUGGCAUCUUACAUUUCAUUUUGGAUGGGCAAGAGUACUGGAAUAGGAAUUACUUGGAACUGGUUCAUUAUGUAUUAGUAGGAUAUUGGUACAUACUGCAUUGGGAAGACUAAUGACAGCCUUGGGGGGUGUCAUAGCUUGAUAGUUUAAAGAUUAGCUUCAAGUCAUUAAAUUUGUCCAGUCAUUUA
rnacentral:lncRNA from 1 species